AGCAGGCAGGACUCUACCUCACUAGUCGAGAUCCACGCGCGUUACAGCAUGUAAGACUUCCGCGUGUCAUCUUGACAUGCGAGUCACGACUGGUUAGAGCUAUAUGCAUCUACGCGAAUCUGCCUGGUAGUGGGGGAUAACGUCCGGAAACGGACGCUAAUACCGCAUACGUCCUACGGGAGAAAGCAGGGGACCUUCGGGCCUUGCGCUAUCAGAUGAGCCUAGGUCGGAUUAGCUAGUUGGUGGGGUAAUGGCUCACCAAGGCGACGAUCCGUAACUGGUCUGAGAGGAUGAUCAGUCACACUGGACUGAGACACGGUCCAGACUCCUACGGGAGGCAGCAGUGGGGAAUAUUGACAAUGGGCGAAAGCCUGAUCCAGCCAUGCCGCGUGUGUGAAGA
rnacentral:rRNA from 1 species